rnacentral:lncRNA from 1 species
AAAAGUUUUCCCGGAAAUGCUUUGUUUUUUCUUUUGAGAUGAUGCUCGAAAUUGCAGCAUCAACUUUCAGGAGGCUUCAUCCCAUCCUGCUCCCACCAGAGCAUCUGGACCGGACCACUAACGUUAUUAGCGGAUCUUCCUGUUGAGAAGACAGAAGAAUCCUAUCAGCUGAGUCAACUGAGCGUCAGACUGUGUGGCAGCAAAGACUGGCUGAGUGCUUCAUGAUGGGAUACUUUCGGUCAGCAUGGCAGAGGACUUCCUCCACAGCACAUGACAUAUCACGGCUGCAUUUUUUGAUGCCGCCGUUCUACAUUUGAUGGCAUCAUUGUGUGCUCAAGCGAUAAAGUUUAAGUGAAAAUUAUGAAGUCAACUAAAGUGGAUGUAAUUUGAUAGAAUUCACUCACAUUAAACUUAUUAUCCAGUUAAUGAUUUGGCUUGCACUCCGUAGCCUGGCACAGGCAGACGCAUCCCACGUGUC